rnacentral:rRNA from 1 species
UACAGAGGGUGCAAGCGUUAAUCGGAAUUACUGGGCGUAAAGCGUGCGCAGGCGGCCUUCCAAGUCAGGGGUGAAAGCCCAGAGCUCAACUCUGGAAUUGCCUUUGAGACUGUGAGGCUUGAGUACGGGAGAGGUGAGUGGAAUUCCCAGUGUAGAGGUGAAAUUCGUAGAUAUUGGGAAGAACACCGGUGGCGAAGGCGGCUCACUGGCCCGAAACUGACGCUCAUGCACGACAGCGUGGGGAUCAAACAGG